rnacentral:ncRNA from 2 species
UUCUUAUCAAGAGAGGUUGAGGGAAUGGCCCUGCGACGCCUCAGCAACCAUCAAUGGUUUUAUUCAUUGAAAAGGUGCUAAGUCCUGCAAAUUAGCUGCUAAUUUGCAAGAUAAGAA